AUUGAACGCUGGCGGCAGGCCUAACACAUGCAAGUCGAGCGAGCGGCGGACGGGUGAGUAAUGUAUGGGGAUCUGCCUGAUGGAGGGGGAUAACUACUGGAAACGGUAGCUAAUACCGCAUACCAUCAGAUGAACCCAUAGGGGAUUAGCUUGUAGGGGGGGUAACGGCUCACCUAGGCGACGCUCCAUAGCUGGUCUGAGAGGAUGAUCAGCCACACUGGGACUGAGACACGGCCCAGACUCCUACGGGAGGCAGCAGUGGGGAAUAUUGCACAAUGGGCGCAAGCCUGAUGCAGCCAUGCCGCGUGUAUGAAGAAGGCCUUCGGGUUGUAAAGUACUUUCAGUCGGGAGGCGUUACCGACAGAAGAAGCACCGGCUAACUCCGUGUCAGCAGCCGCGGUAAUAC
rnacentral:rRNA from 1 species